UGAACAGUCUUGUAAUCGGGUGCUGGU
rnacentral:sRNA from 1 species